rnacentral:misc_RNA from 1 species
GGAAGUAACAUCAUUAUGUGAAGUUACUCUAGACCUGUCUGGCACUAUUGCCAGUGCUGACUGACCACUAUGAGCUCUCUGAAAAGACUCGGUCAUCUGUUUCGACUGAGAUGCAAACCUAUCAAAAUAUGCAUUGACAGGUUGAGUGGUCGCUGCACGUGUGCCCAUAUCAUACAUGUGCGGAUUAUGGAUAUGACUUCUUGAAUGAGGAAAUCCAGGGGAAAGAGCAGC